GGGUCCGCGUUUCAUUAGCUANCCUGNUAGGGUAAUGGCCUACCAAGGCAACGAUGAGUAGCUGGUCUGAGAGGAUGAUCAGCCACACUGGAACUGAAACACGGUCCAGACUCCUACGGGAGGCAGCAGUGGGGAAUAUUGCGCAAUGGGCGAAAGCCUGACGCAGCAACGCCGUGUGAGGGAUGAAGGCUUUCGGGUCGUAAACCUCUGUCGGAAGGGAAGAACGGGCAAUGGUCUAAUAGGCCGUUGUUUUGACGGUACCUUUAGAGGAAGCACCGGCUAACUCCGUGCCAGCAGCCGCGGUAAUACGGAGGGUGCAAGCGUUAUUCGGAAUUACUGGGCGUAAAGCGCACGUAGGCCGCUUUGUAAGUCAGGGGUGAAAUCCCACGGCUCAACCGUGGAACUGCCUUUGAUACUGCACAACUUGAAUCCGGGAGAGGGUGGCGGAAUUCCAGGUGUAGGAGUGAAAUCCGUAGAUAUCUGGAGGAACAUCAGUGGCG
rnacentral:rRNA from 1 species